AGUGAACGCUGGCGGUAGGCCUAACACAUGCAAGUCGAACGGCAGCACAGUAAGAGCUUGCUCUUACGGGUGGCGAGUGGCGGGCGGGUGAGGAAUACAUCGGAAUCUACUUUUUCGUGGGGGAUAACGUAGGGAAACUUACGCUAAUACCGCAUAUGACCUACGGGUGAAAGCAGGGGAUCUUCGGACCUUGCGCGAUUGAAUGAGCCGAUGUCGGAUUAGCUAGUUGGCGGGGUAAAGGCCCACCAAGGCGACGAUCCGUAGCUGGUCUGAGAGGAUGAUCAGCCACACUGGAACUGAGACACGGUCCAGACUCCUACGGGAGGCAGCAGUGGGGAAUAUUGGACAAUGGGCGCAAGCCUGAUCCAGCCAUACCGCGUGGGUGAAGAAGGCCUUCGGGUUGUAAAGCCCUUUUGUUGGGAAAGAAAAGCAGCAGGUUAAUACCCCGCUGUUCUGACGGUACCCAAAGAAUAAGCACCGGCUAACUUCGUG
rnacentral:rRNA from 1 species